rnacentral:lncRNA from 1 species
GGACAAGAAAACCCUGGAAGCACCGAACACCACCGGUCCGUUCGGUCAAGUGGCGAUUACGAGGCGUUGGCCCCAGACACGAGUAAAGUACUGCUCUGUGCGAGAACGUCACCGUGCCAGGAGAGGCGUCCCCCCGGCACCGUCCAUCCGCUCACGGAUAGAGAGGCACGUAGAUGAAUCGCGAGGACUUCACAAGAAUUCCUUUUGAGGAACAUGGAAACUCGCGGAUAUCACUCGGCACUUUUGCUUCGGUAGGCACUCUGGCGCAGCUUCCCCCUUUUUUUAGAACAGCAAUGGACUCAGUUGUAGGGAUGGCCGUCGCUUUCUUGCGUUCCAGCAGGCCACCUGAUGCAGAUUGUAGCACUGAAUUUUGAACAACAAUUCAGUGCCUGUACCGCUGGUGAGGCGUUCAGAGUCAUCCUGGGUGUCGUCACUGUACAGUUUUCUGUAGCAAACCGCAGUAAAAUGGGCGCCAUUGCCGUUCUCUGUGCUUCGUAAGGAUACGCAGAAUCUAUCAGGAGAAGCGCGCGUGCCCUCCUCGCCGUGUUUUGGCCCUGCCUCAAAGCCUGCAGCGACCAGACGCUUUUGACGUUGUACGAGCUCCCAUGUAGUCUCGAUUUCCUCAGGGAAGGGCGCUGAAAAACGCUGUGUGGACCAUGAACUCCGCGGUAAUUGCAAUGCCACACACACAGCUACGCCAAAGGGAAUUCCACUGCUCAUCGUGUUCGUUCAUCGAAUGUCUGGAGUCGUCAGUGUCAGUCUCACUGGUUUCUUUACGUUGUCGCUUCUUGGAUCUCUGCUGUACACCUGUGUAUUCUUGUCUUUUCCUGGGAAAUUUGGCGAACCCGAAUGCUUCUCACAUGGCGAAGGUGGGCAGAGUCGAGGUCUGCAGGGAAAUGUAUAUCUCCUUUGUCCAGCUUGGUUCCUUGCUUCGUUCCACAUUUUGUAUAAACGGGAGGUCCGUGCCGAACUACUGGCCGUUCGGUAGAAGCUGCCCUCAAAUGCAAUCGAGUAGCCAGCCUCGAUGUACACGGUUCUGAAUUCAGACGAGGAACCCGUGUAGCUCAACGGUGAUCUCAGGAACUUACUUGAGAAAUCCUCAGCAGACAGCUUGAAAGUAAAACAUGG